UGGUACAGUCAAAUCAUCCGGGUUAUUAACCCGACGAUCUUCUUCCCACCUGACAGGAGUUUACAAUCCGAAGACCUUCAUCCUCCACGCGGCGUCGCUGGGUCAGGGUCUCCCCCAUUGCCCAAAAUUCCCC
rnacentral:rRNA from 1 species